rnacentral:rRNA from 1 species
UACGUAGGGGCAAGCGUUGUCCGGAUUUAUUGGGCGUAAAGAGCUCGUAGGCGGUUUGUCGCGUCUGCUGUGAAAUCCCGAGGCUCAACCUCGGGCCUGCAGUGGGUACGGGCAGACUAGAGUGCGGUAGGGGAGAUUGGAACUCCUGGUGUAGCGGUGGAAUGCGCAGAUAUCAGGAGGAACACCAAUUGCGGAAGGCAGCUCCGCUGGGACGUUACUGACGCGUGGAGACGCGAAAGCCGUGGGGAGCAAACAGG